rnacentral:rRNA from 1 species
UACGGGGGAGCAAGCGUUGUUCGGAUUUACUGGGCGUAAAGAGCGCGCAGGCGGUCGUUCAAGUCGCGUGUGAAAGCCCCCGGCUCAACUGGGGAGGGUCACGCGAUACUGAUCGACUCGAAGGCAGGAGAGGGUAGUGGAAUUCCCGGUGUAGUGGUGAAAUGCGUAGAUAUCGGGAGGAACACCAGUGGCGAAGGCGACUACCUGGCCUGUUCUUGACGCUGAGGCGCGAAAGCUAGGGGAGCAACGGG